rnacentral:RNase_P_RNA from 1 species
CGACCCUCGGGACAGUGCCACAGAGAACAGACCGCCCCGGCGCGAGCCGGGGUAAGGGUGAAACGGUGGUGUAAGAGACCACCAGCGUCCCCGGUGACGGGAACGGCUAGGUAAACCCCACCCGGAGCAAGGCCAAGAGGGUGCCCCAGGGCACCUGCGCAGGCGAUCGAGGGCGGCCCGCCCGAUGCCUGCGGGUAGGCCGCAAGAGCCUGUCGGCAACGGCAGGCCGAGAUGGAUGGCCGCCGAACGGGACCGCCGCGAGGCGCCCGGGAACAGAAUCCGGCUUACAUGCCGGCUCAUCCG